rnacentral:rRNA from 1 species
CCUACGGGAGGCAGCAGUAGGGAAUUUUCGGCAAUGGGGGGAACCCUGACCGAGCAACGCCGCGUGAACGAAGAAGUUAUUCGUAAUGUAAAGUUCUUUUAACAGGGAAGAAAGAGAAAUUUGACGGUACCUGAAGAAUAAGCUCCGGCUAACUACGUGCCAGCAGCCGCGGUAAUACGUAGGGAGCGAGCGUUAUCCGGAAUUAUUGGGCGUAAAGGGUGGGUAGAUGGCAUAGUAAGUAUUUUGGAAAUAUGCUGGGCUAAACCCAGUAGGGCAAAAGAUACUGCAAAGCUAGAGUAUGGCAGAGGCAAGUGGAACUACAUGUGUAGCGGUAAAAUGCGUAGAUAUAUGUAAGAACACCAGUGGCGAAGGCGGCUUGCUGGGUCGAUACUGACAUUGAGGCACGAAAGCGUGGGGAGCAAACAGGAUUAGAUACCCCAGUAGUC